UACGGAAGGCAGCAGUGGGGAAUAUUGCACAAUGGGCGCAAGCCUGAUGCAGCCAUGCCGCGUGUAUGAAAAAGGCCUUCGGAUUGUAAAGUACUUUCAGUCGUGAGGAAGGUGUUAAGGUUAAUAACCUUAGCAAUUGACGUUAGCGACCGAAGAAGCACCGGCUAACUCCGUGCCAGCAGCCGCGGUAAUACGGAGGGUGCGAGCGUUAAUCGGAAUUACUGGGCGUAAAGGGCACGCAGGCGGUUAAUUAAGUUGGAUGUGAAAUCCCCGGGCUUAACCUGGGAAUGGCAUUCAAGACUGGUUAGCUAGAGUCUUGUAGAGGGGGUAGAAUUCCAUGUGUAGCGGUGAAAUGCGUAGAGAUGUGGAGGAAUACCGGUGGCGAAGGCGGCCCCUGGACAAAGACUGACGCUCAUGUGCGAAAGCGUGGGGAGCAAACAGGGAUUAGAUACC
rnacentral:rRNA from 1 species